UGAGUUUGAUCAUGGCUCAGAUUGAACGCUGGCGGCAUGCCUUACACAUGCAAGUCGAACGGUAACAGGUUAAGCUGACGAGUGGCGAACGGGUGAGUAAUAUAUCGGAACGUGCCCAGUCGUGGGGGAUAACUGCUCGAAAGAGCAGCUAAUACCGCAUACGACCUGAGGGUGAAAGCGGGGGAUCGCAAGACCUCGCGCGAUUGGAGCGGCCGAUAUCAGAUUAGGUAGUUGGUGGGGUAAAGGCCCACCAAGCCAACGAUCUGUAGCUGGUCUGAGAGGACGACCAGCCACACUGGGACUGAGACACGGCCCAGACUCCUACGGGAGGCAGCAGUGGGGAAUUUUGGACAAUGGGCGCAAGCCUGAUCCAGCCAUGCCGCGUGCGGGAAGAAGGCCUUCGGGUUGUAAACCGCUUUUGUCAGGGAAGAAAAGGUUCUGGUUAAUACCUGGGACUCAUGACGGUACCUGAAGAAUAAGCACCGGCUAACUACGUGCCAGCAGCCGCGGAAUACGUAGGGUGAAGCGUUAUCGGAUUACUGGGCGAAAGCGUGCGAGG
rnacentral:rRNA from 1 species